CAGGUCGCCUUAUCGUUUCCGUCUUGUCGAACAUUUUCGCCUACAGCAACGCCCCCUGUACUUGCCUCUCCGUUGAGCAACAGUGCUACAGCAAAAGUAAGAGGCGCCGUUGUUAGCUUUUUCUGCUACCGAAAGAUUGUUUUCGGCACUACAGGAUACCCUCGCAGCCGCCUUCUCCGCCCAUGAGAUAGGACUCCCUGCGAAGAUGAGCCUCCAGCUUGGCGAUUUUGACUCAGACGGAGAAGGUGAACGGAUUGUCUUCGAUCUAGAAGACACGCAGUACCCAGUGAACCCUGAAUUGGCGGCUCUUCUAACCACGCUGCUGGCUCUUUCCCUAUGCGCCCUCGUGUGCUGGGCGCUCUUCAUGUUCGUCACCAAAUGGAAGAAGGUUCUGUCCUGGAUACGUAAUUUUUCUCAUCCGCAACCACAGGAUGAUUACCCAUCCACGAGCCCGAGACGUCCCGCUUCGUCCACUGAAGCCACAGCUCCGACAGUCUUUGUCCACCCUCCCGGUGCAUGUCAGUUGAGCAUCGCGGACUAUGGUUUCAAUGUGCACGCAUUUUCAUAUGGUCACCACCCGAGACCACCGUGCUGCCACGUGUCUAACUCGUUCGGCAACCCAUCGUACAAGAUGUCUGAGAAAGAAAUGUGCGAGACGUACGCCUUCUGAUGUCCACGUCUAACGUCCUGAUAAAAACUGGGGAUUAUUUUUACUGGAUUUUAUGUAUUUUAGUGGCAAAGAUCAACAACAGAACAAAAGAUACAUGAGAGAUAAUUCGGGCCUUCUGUUUUCUGCUGAUGAUAUUCCUUCCUAGCAUACCAAUUCCCCCCCCCCCCUUUUUUUUUUGUGACGAUACUGCUAUUUCUUCGUUGAAUAAAAUAUUUUAAGAGCGAA